rnacentral:misc_RNA from 1 species
GUGUGAAUUGCAGAAUUCAGUGAAUCAUCGAAUCUUUGAACGCACAUUGCGCCCCUUGGUAUUCCAUGGGGCAUGCCUGUUCGAGCGUCAUUUGUACCCUCAAGCUCUGCUUGGUGUUGGGUGUUUGUCCCCGUCUCCGCGCGUGGACUCGCCCCAAAGUGAUUGGCAGCCGGCGUACUGGUCCCGGAGCGCAGCACAUGUCGCGCAAACGAGUGCCUUGGUACGGCGGCGUCCAUAAGCCCCUCUCUCACGCUCUUGACCUCGGAUCAGGUAGGGAUACCCGCUGAACUUAAGC